rnacentral:rRNA from 1 species
UGAGGAAUAUUGGUCAAUGGGCGGGAGCCUGAACCAGCCAAGUCGCGUGAGGGAAGACGGCCCUACGGGUUGUAAACCUCUUUUGUCAGGGAGCAAAGGCGGGCACGCGUGCCCCGAUGAGAGUACCUGAAGAAAAAGCAUCGGCUAACUCCGUGCCAGCAGCCGCGGUAAUACGGAGGAUGCGAGCGUUAUCCGGAUUUAUUGGGUUUAAAGGGUGCGUAGGCGGUCGGGAAAGCCGGCGGUAAAAAUGCGGUGCUCAACGCCGUAUAGCCGUCGGAACUGUCUGACUCGAGUUGGCGAGAAGUACGCGGAAUGCGUGGUGUAGCGGUGAAAUGCAUAGAUAUCACGCAGAACUCCGAUUGCGAAGGCAGCGUACCGGCGCCAUACUGACGCUGAGGCACGAAAGCGUGGGUAUCGAACAGG